UACGUAGGGGGCAAGCGUUGUCCGGAUUUAUUGGGCGUAAAGAGCGUGUAGGCGGCCAAGCAGGUCCGCUGUGAAAACUCGAGGCUCAACCUCGAGACGUCGGUGGAAACCGUUUGGCUAGAGUCCGGAGGAGGAGAGUGGAAUUCCCGGUGUAGCGGUGAAAUGCGCAGAUAUCGGGAAGAACACCCGUGGCGAAGGCGGCUCUCUGGGACGGUACUGACGCUGAGACGCGAAAGCGUGGGGAGCGAACAGG
rnacentral:rRNA from 1 species